rfam:Tepidimonas fonticaldi strain PL17 contig_17, whole genome shotgun sequence.
UGCUUUUUUUGCCCAAGCGGAGCUCGACCGCGUCAAGAGCAAAUCCAAGGCGUGAUCGCCUUCGUUGAUCGCCAUCGCGAUCGUUUCGGGGUCGAGCCGAUCUGCCGCGAACUGCAGGUCGCCCCG